rnacentral:rRNA from 1 species
UACGGAGGGGGCAAGCGUUGUUCGGAAUUACUGGGCGUAAAGGGCUCGUAGGCGGCCAACUAAGUCAGACGUGAAAUCCCUCGGCUUAACCGGGGAACUGCGUCUGAUACUGGAUGGCUAGAGUUUGGGAGAGGGAUGCGGAAUUCCAGGUGUAGCGGUGAAAUGCGUAGAUAUCUGGAGGAAUACCGGUGGCGAAGGCGGGUCUCUGGGCCGAUACUGACGCUGAGGAGCGAAAGCGUGGGGGAGCGAACAGG